CCCCCCCCCCCCCCCCGAGCAGAUGACGAGUAGCCUACACCUGGUUGGGCAGGGCAGAUCCCUCCACUCCUGCAGAGUCUGGCUGAAGUCCACACUGCUCAUUGGUAUCCUCACAGCUCCAAUAGCAUCGUGUUUUGAGAAACGGUCGAAGUCGUACACAGUCAUCACGAGUGUCUUCCCUCCCAGCUCAGUGUAUGGCACCUACAGAAGAUAGACUUUGACGUAAGGGUCAGAACUACCUCCCACAUCCAUCGCAGGAAGUUCAGUAGCCUGCAAGAUGCCUACCACCAGCUAGAAUGUGAUAGCGAAGGAAAGCAAUAACGAGAGAUGAGAACCUGGCUAAUUCACAGGGAGAAGGAAAGUAUUAAAAUGUGACAUUUCAGAGUUGGCAGAUGGCGGCCAUAAACAUGUCACAGUGAAUAGCA